rnacentral:rRNA from 2 species
UUUUGACCUCAGUUCAGACAAGGCUACCCGCCGAAUUUAAGCAUAUUACUAAGCGGAGGAAAAGAAACUAACAAGGAUUCCCCUAGUAACGGCGAGCGAACCGGGAAGAGCCCAACUUGAAAAUCUAAAGGUUGUACCUUUCGAAUUGUAGUCUAGAGACGCGUUCUCUGCGGCGGAUCGGCUCCAAGUUCCCUGGAAAGGGACGUCAGAGAGGGUGAGAACCCCGUCGAAGCCGGUUUCAGUCGCUCCACGAGGCGCAGUCGAGGAGUCGGGUUGUUUGGGAAUGCAGCCCUAAGCAGGUGGUAAAUUCCAUCUAAGGCUAAAUAUUGGCGAGAGACCGAUAGCGAACAAGUACCGCGAGGGAAAGAUGAAAAGACCUUUGAAAAGAGAGUUAAAAAGUACCUGAAAUUGUUGAGGGGGAAGCGAUUCAAACCUGUGGGUGCUCCCGGGGCAGUAGCAAUACACGCGCUCGGGGCUGGUCAACGUGGGUUAGCUUGGAAGGAUAUCACUUCCGAGUUGACCGAGGACUCGACGUUGGCGGAAAGGUUUGCAUUGACCCGUCUAGAAACACGGACCAAGGAGUCUAA